rnacentral:rRNA from 1 species
CGGCUAACUCCGUGCCAGCAGCCGCGGUAAUACGGAGGGUGCAAGCGUUAAUCGGAAUUACUGGGCGUAAAGCGCACGCAGGCGGUUUGUUAAGUCAGAUGUGAAAUCCCCGGGCUCAACCUGGGAACUGCAUCUGAUACUGGCAAGCUUGAGUCUCGUAGAGGGGGGUAGAAUUCCAGGUGUAGCGGUGAAAUGCGUAGAGAUCUGGAGGAAUACCGGUGGCGAAGGCGGCCCCCUGGACGAAGACUGACGCUCAGGUGCGAAAGCGUGGGGAGCAAACAGGAUUAGAUACCCUGGUAGUCCACGCCGUAAACGAUGUCGACUUGGAGGUUGUGCCCUUGAGGCGUGGCUUCCGGAGCUAACGCGUUAAGUCGACCGCCUGGGGAGUACGGCCGCAAGGUUAAAACUCAAAUGAAUUGACGGGGGCCCGCACAAGCGGUGGAGCAUGUGGUUUAAUUCGAUGCAACGCGAAGAACCUUACCUGGUCUUGACAUCCACGGAAGUUUUCAGAGAUGAGAAUGUGCCUUCGGGAACCGUGAGACAGGUGCUGCAUGGCUGUCGUCAGCUCGUGUUGUGAAAUGUUGGGUUAAGUCCCGCAACGAGCGCAACCCUUAUCCUUUGUUGCCAGCGGUCCGGCCGGGAACUCAAAGGAGACUGCCAGUGAUAAACUGGAGGAAGGUGGGGACGACGUCAAGUCAUCAUGGCCCUUACGACCAGGGCUACACACGUGCUACAAUGGCGCAUACAAAGAGAAGCGACCUCGCGAGAGCAAGCGGACCUCAUAAAGUGCGUCGUAGUCCGGAUUGGAGUCUGCAACUCGACUCCAUGAAGUCGGAAUCGCUAGUAAUCGUGGAUCAGAAUGCCACGGUGAAUACGUUCCCGGGCCUUGUACACACCGCCCGUCACACCAUGGGAGUGGGUUGCAAAAGAAGUAGGUAGCUUAACCUUCGGGAGGGCGCUUACCACUUUGUGAUUCAUGACUGGGGUGAAGUCGUAACAAGGUAACCGUAGGGGAACCUGCGGUUGGAUCACCUCCUUACCUUAAAGAAGC